rnacentral:lncRNA from 1 species
AUGCAAGUCCCCCUGGCUGCUCUGCCCCACCCUACCGAGCUCAGAGCUUCAUCUUUUCCCAGGGCCUGGGGUGGCGACCUCAGUCUUGACCUUAGACCUACACUAAAAGGAGCAAGACAGGCCCUGUCCUUUCCUCCUGGGUUCCAGCUGCUCACAGGGCAGGUGUGGGCACCAGGAAAGGGGAACAAGACAGGCCCCGGCUUUUCCUCCUGGGUUCUGGCUGCUCACAAGGCAGCUAGGGCCAGGUGGGAGGGGCAGGAAGAGCCUGAGAAGGCCCUUUUGGAGAUGCAGAAGCCGAGGUCAGGACUGACAAGAUGGAUCUGGGAGAGGAGCCUGGAAACCAGCUUGAAUGGAGAGGUAGGAGAAGGGUUGUUGCCCACCCAACAUGGACUUUGCCCCACCCCACCCCCAAGUAGAUCCAGCCCAACUUGCCCUGUGCAGACUCCAUAAUGCACCCAUCAUGGUCUUUGGAGCCUCAGAGGCACUGUGGUCUCUGGCUACAGAAGCAGCCUCUCCACCUGCCCACAACUCAGCUCAGUGGGGGAGCUGGCCGCCUUAUGCUGGGCAUCUUUGCUGUGCUGUGUGGCUGUCACCGAUACUGCUGUCCCUAGCAAGGCCCUAGGGGAGGUGGGGAUGGGGGUGCUGCUGGAGGGCAAUGUAGUCCUGCUCUUCCAUGGUCAGUGGGGCCCCCAGUCAAGGGAUCUGAAUUCCCCAUCCCCUGUGUCACAAUUAGUAUUUGGGACCUGGGAGGAAUUUUAGAUGCCGUCCAACCCCCUUCCCCAUUUAUAAAAGAGGAAACUGAGGCCCAGCGAUGGGAUAUGCCCUGGUUCAAGGUCUCUCAGAGGUCAGGAGGGCUGGAUCCACCCCAGGCAUGCUUCCACCCCACCCCGGAGGCUGAGUGUGUUGGGCAGGAUUCAAAGGAUCACCCCCAGUUAUCUUUGCCUUUGGAUUAUCUCUCUUUUGAGUGUGGGUACGACUGUGAUGAGGUGUCACUCAUGUGGUCAUGUCACAUUAUAUGGCAAAAGGACCUAGUUUAAUCACAUGAAAUCUUUAAAAGCAAAGAGCUUUCUCUGGCUGGUAGCAGAAGGGAAGUCAGGGAGAUUUGAAGCAUGAGAAGGGUCAGAGAGGGUCCUUAAAAAGCAGCCCCGGCUGACAGCCAGCAGGGAAACAGUCCUACAGCCACAAGGAACUGAAUUCUACCAGCGACAAGAAUGCACGUGGACGCAGCCUUUCCCAGAGCCACCAGCAAAGAGCCCAGGCUGGCAACACCUGGAUGUCAGCCUUGUGGGACCCUAAGCAGAGAACCAAGCUGAGCCUGCUCAGACUGCUGACCUACAGCACUGUGAGAUCAUAACUGGGUGUUGGUUUAAGGGGCAGAGUUUGUGAUAAUCUGUUAUGCAGCA